AAUGAUGACCCAUUCAAAGGAAGUGACCCCUUUAACCAAGAUCCCUUUGCAUCUGAUGAUCCUUUCAAAGAUGCAUUCCCAGUGGCUGAUAAUGAAGCUGCUGUAUUUCCUAAGACGGACAGUUUUGACAGUAGUGCUACCGAUCCCUUUCAAAGUACGUUCUCAAACACAAAUGAAAAACCUGAAGCAUUUGCAGCAUUCGGUGACCCAAAGCCAAAGAGUAACAAAGGCGAUCUUUUCGGAAGUGUUCCAUUUGUGAAGUCUAAUUCGAAAUCCCCAACUCCACCAAACCUUCCUCCUAAACAGAAGAAACAGCCCCCUCCUCGGCCUGCACCACCUCGCCCCAAAAGCUCUCCUGCAGCUAAGAAAAAAGAUGAACUCUUUGCAAAUUUCGGUAACGAUCCAUUUACUGGGAACGAUCCCUUUGCCAGCUCCACUGGCAACAAUCCUGAAUAUAGUCUUGAAAAUUUUGCUGACUUCAGUCCCAGCAAGAAUAUUCUUGAUUAACAAAAAAAACAACAUAAAAAAAAUAAACAAAAAUCAAAACUGGUACUGAAACCAAUUAAUUUAAAAUAAGACUUCAAACAUACUUAAACUACCGUAAGUAAGAAAGGUAGCAUGUGGACUUUGUGGGACUUUUUCGUGGUUGUUGGUGAUAUCUUCAGAUAUUUGGCUGCCUUGGUUACAUCUAUUGGGUGAGAAAAUAAUUCUUUCUAC